UACGUAGGGUGCGAGCGUUAAUCGGAAUUACUGGGCGUAAAGCGUGCGCAGGCGGUAAGUUAAGUCUGAUGUGGAAGCCCCGGGCUCAACCUGGGAAUGGCAUUGGAAACUGGCUUGCUGGAGUGUGGCAGAGGGGGGUGGAAUUCCGCGUGUAGCAGUGAAAUGCGUAGAGAUGCGGAGGAACACCGAUGGCGAAGGCAGCCCCCUGGGCCAACACUGACGCUCAGGCACGAAAGCGUGGGGAGCAAACAGG
rnacentral:rRNA from 1 species